rnacentral:misc_RNA from 1 species
ACGAGACCAAGAAAGAAACACAUGCAUCUCGAUAUAUAUAUAUAUAUAACUUGUUAAUAUAAAUUGUUGUGUGAUAUCAUUAGCUUGAUAAUUUAGAGAGCCAUAAUUAUAUUGUUCCUCAAAGGUGAGCUCAUUAAAUAACUUCAUCAUUUAUUGUUCAUAUUUUUGCUGAGCCACCUGUCCCUCACGUGUCCACUUUCUGGAACUGGAAAUCCUUUAUUUAUUUCUAUAAUUUGUCAUUUCCUUAAUUAGGUUAUUUAUUCUAUUUCUAUGG